AACCAUUUGAGGACAUGGUCCCGCUGUGCACAACGCUCCUGUUGAACCAGCCAAGAGCACCUUGAGGCUGCUAUGAUGCGAUCACCAUGUGCCUUUCAUAAGACCCAAACCAACAAGGGUAACCAUUGGUCAUAAGCUAAAAUCCUCAAAACUCUUCCCAGGGUGAUGCAACCAAGUCCAUUGCUCAGAGUUUUCUGUGGAGGCAACAGCUGUGUAGUGUGGCCAGAUCUACACUGCAGAGGAAAAUGAGCAGAAAGCGAUUUGAUAUUCCAUCUGAGAAGAGCACAGACCAACCUUGACCCAAGAGUCUCUCACUCACUUAUUUACUUAGU
rnacentral:lncRNA from 1 species